GAUGAACGCUGGCGGCGUGCCUAAUACAUGCAAGUCGAGCGAACAGACGAGGAGCUUGCUCCUCUGACGUUAGCGGCGGACGGGUGAGUAACACGUGGAUAACCUACCUAUAAGACUGGGAUAACUUCGGGAAACCGGAGCUAAUACCGGAUAAUAUAUUGAACCGCAUGGUUCAAUAGUGAAAGACGGUUUUGCUGUCACUUAUAGAUGGAUCCGCGCCGCAUUAGCUAGUUGGUAAGGUAACGGCUUACCAAGGCAACGAUGCGUAGCCGACCUGAGAGGGUGAUCGGCCACACUGGAACUGAGACACGGUCCAGACUCCUACGGGAGGCAGCAGGAGGGAAUCUUCCGCAAUGGGCGAAAGCCUGACGGAGCAACGCCGCGUGAGUGAUGAAGGUCUUCGGAUCGUAAAACUCUGUUAUGAGGGAAGAACAAAUGUGUAAGUAACUAUGCAGGUCUUGACGGUACCUAAUCAGAAAGCCACGGCUAACUACGU
rnacentral:rRNA from 1 species